UGCGGCGGGGCCGGCCGGGCCGGAGCGCUCGGCUCAGCCGCCGGGCCGGGUGCGUGGGGUCCGCCCGGGCGGCUCUCCGCAGAGGGUCCCCGCAGUGUAGGCUGCCCGGGCCUCGGGGGUCCGCAUGGGCUGAGCAGCGGCUGCGUUCCUGCCCUGCAGGGUUUCUCUGGCGGUUUGCGCGCUCCUCGGUCUCUGUAUGGGCUUGUUUCCUCCUUCCCCACUCGCGGUUCGGAAGAUGAAAUGCUUCUCCCGGUACAUGCCGUACCUCUUCCGGCCGCCCGGCGCCGUCCUCUCCUCCAGCUGCCACUCGGAAGCAGGAAGGGCUCCGUUCUGGUGCACAGCGCCCGGCGGUGCCUGCGUGUUUGCUGUCAGUCAGCUUUGUGAAUCAUCUGCAGCCGUGCAACCAGCUACGUGAGAUCAAAAUUUCAUAUCGCUGCUCCUCCCCUACAUGGAACCGCAGCAAUAUUCCUUGUGCCCUACCCAGAGCUAGCUAAUGAAGGAAACCCUUUCCUGACACGCAGCUUUCUACAGACAUGUUCAUGUGGUCUGUGUCUGUGCAUGGAUGGAUCUGCCAGCCGCACCCAUAAGCCACGGGAAGAUCCAUCUGGAUGCAGCAGGGAUGUGUGCUGUGGCUGGUUUGGAGAGGACUGGCUCUAGUCUCUGCCCACAGUGUGUCUGUAGUGAAGAGAAACUCCAUGGGGAGCACCUACCAUGACUCCUGAUGCCGUGACCUGGAAUGUCCUAAGGCUGAAGAUGUGGAGUGGGAGGGGUCAGGCUGGAGGGACUGGGCAGAGGAUGAUGUUUGAGGCUAAAUUAUUACAUCUCCUGUGGCUGCUGUUUUAGUCCAAGCAGACAGUAUGGAGGUUUUGGUUUAAUUUUAUUUUCCCCGAAGUUCUAAGUAGAUAAAAUUAACCGAGUCAAUAACUUGUCCUAACUCUGGAAUUCUUCCUUUGAAAAUUUCUCUUAAAGGAUACUCAGCUAGGUAACCUUCAGGGGAAAAAGCCUUUGAAUUAAGACAAGAAUCCUCUUUCCUGCAGAUGAGGAAGCAAGCACAAAGAUAGGAAGCGAGUUCUCUCAGGUCAUACGAUUGCCAGACUUUGAGUCAUGCAUACAUUUUUCAUCCAGAAUUCGAACAGAAAUGUAUUUUUGUGCCAUUUUCUGGGCGGGGUUUGAAACGUCCCCUGUUCUGCAGGUUUCAUGGGUGAUGAGUGAUCAUUAUAUCCUCCCCUUAAAACCUGCUGUUGUUCUUAGGAGAUCUUUAACUGCAUUGUUAAUUUGAUAGGACAACAACUUGAAAUCAUUUUCAGUAACUUCUAGAUUUUUCUGGCUGUUUGAGCAGCCGCCCUGGGAGCUGCAUGAGCGCAGAGCAGCUGCAGUGCUGGGCAGAGGACACAGGAUGGAAGGCACGUUAAUAAAUAGAUCUUAAAUAAUCAUUGGUGUAAAUAUUA